rnacentral:rRNA from 1 species
UCCGGAUUUAUUGGGCGUAAAGAGCUCGUAGGCGGCUCGUCGCGUCAGCUGUGAAAACCCGCGGCUUAACCGUGGGCUUGCAGCUGAUACGGGCGGGCUAGAGUUCGGUAGGGGAGACUGGAAUUCCUGGUGUAGCGGUGAAAUGCGCAGAUAUCAGGAGGAACACCGGUGGCGAAGGCGGGUCUCUGGGCCGAUACUGACGCUGAGGAGCGAAAGCGUGGGGAGCGAACAGG